rnacentral:rRNA from 1 species
CAUCCUAAGAGAUUAGGAGUNNCCUUCGGGGACGCUAAGACAGGUGGUGCAUGGCUGUCGUCAGCUCGUGUCGUGAGAUGUUGGGUUAAGUCCCGCAACGAGCGCAACCCUUGUUAUUAGUUGCCAGCAUUAAGUUGGGCACUCUAAUGAGACUGCCGGUGACAAACCGGAGGAAGGUGGGGAUGACGUCAAGUCAUCAUGCCCCUUAUGACCUGGGCUACACACGUGCUACAAUGGGCAGUACAACGAGAAGCGAGCCUGCGAAGGCAAGCGAAUCUCUGAAAGCUGUUCUCAGUUCGGACUGCAGUCUGCAACUCGACUGCACGAAGCUGGAAUCGCUA